rnacentral:rRNA from 1 species
UACGGGGGGGGCAAGCGUUGUUCGGAAUUACUGGGCGUAAAGGGCUCGUAGGUGGCCAACUAAGUCGGACGUGAAAUCCCUCGGCUUAACCGGGGAACUGCAUCCGAUACUGGAUGGCUUGAGUUUGGGAGAGGGAUGCGGAAUUCCAGGUGUAGCGGUGAAAUGCGUAGAUAUCUGGAGGAACACCGGUGGCGAAGGCGGCAUCCUGGACCAACACUGACGCUGAUGAGCGAAAGCCAGGGGAGCAAACGGG